GACGUACCGGUCAGCUUCCGCAUGUCAGGGAUAUAUCUCGUUGCUAAGGCGUCGGAAAGUUCAGCCAGAGUCGAAAUAAAACCUCUGACGUCAUCUAUGGUUGGGGAAAUCGGGCCGGAUGCGCAGAAGCUGAUAGAGCAGUACCUGUGUCGUCAGGCCGUGCUACAAUGGUUUAACAG